rnacentral:tRNA from 1 species
UAAAUAAAUAGCCUUAGUAGCUU